GACGAACGCUGGCGGCGUGCCUAAUACAUGCAAGUCGAGCGCAGGAAACUGACGGAACUCUUCGGAGGGAAGGCAGUGGAAUGAGCGGCGGACGGGUGAGUAACACGUAAGGAACCUGCCUCAAGGAUUGGGAUAACUCCGAGAAAUCGGAGCUAAUACCGGAUAGUUCAACGGACCGCAUGGUCCGCUGAUGAAAGGCGCUUCGGCGUCACCUUGAGAUGGCCUUGCGGUGCAUUAGCUAGUUGGUGGGGUAACGGCCCACCAAGGCGACGCUGCAAAGCCGACCUGAGAGGGUGAUCGGCCACACUGGGACUGAGACACGGCCCAGGCUCCUACGGGAGGCAGCAGUAGGGAAUCUUCCACAAUGGACGAAAGUCUGAUGGAGCAACGCCGCGUGAGUGAUGAAGGUUUUCGGAUCGUAAAACUCUGUUGUAAGGGAAGAACACGUACGAGAGGAAAUGCUCGUACCUUGACGGUACCUUACGAGAAAGCCACGGCUAACUACGUGCCAGCCGCCGCCGUAA
rnacentral:rRNA from 1 species